rnacentral:rRNA from 1 species
GAUGAACGCUGGCGGCGUGCCUAAUACAUGCAAGUCGAGCGAACGGACGAGAAGCUUGCUUCUCUGAUGUUAGCGGCGGACGGGUGAGUAACACGUGGAUAACCUACCUAUAAGACUGGGAUAACUUCGGGAAACCGGAGCUAAUACCGGAUAAUAUUUUGAACCGCAUGGUUCAAAAGUGAAAGACGGUCUUGCUGUCACUUAUGGAUGGAUCCGCGCUGCAUUAGCUAGUUGGUAAGGUAACGGCUUACCAAGGCAACGAUGCAUAGCCGACCUGAGAGGGUAAUCGGCCACACUGGAACUGAGACACGGUCCAGACUCCUACGGGAGGCAGCAGUAGGGAAUCUUCCGCAAUGGGCGAAAGCCUGACGGAGCAACGCCGCGUGAGUGAUGAAGGUCUUCGGAUCGUAAAACUCUGUUAUUAGGGAAGAACAUAUGUGUAAGUAACUGUGCACAUCUUGACGGUACCUAAUCAGAAAGCCACGGCUAACUACGUG